UUAGAGUUUGAUCAUGGCUCACAACGUACGCUGGCGGCACGCCUAACACAUGCAAGUCGAACGAAGUAGCAAUACUUAGUGGCAGACGGGUGAGUAACAUGUGGGUAUCUGCCCUUUGGCCUGGAAUAACACGAGGAAACUUGUGCUAAUACCGGAUAAGUCUUUACGGAGAAAGCUUUAUGCACCAUUGGAUGAGCCCGCACUUGAUUAGUUUGUUGGUGGGGUAAUGGCCUACCAAGACUUUGAUCAAUAGCUGAUUUGAGAGGAUGAUCAGCCACAUUGGGACUGAGACACGGCCCAAACUCCUACGGGAGGCAGCAGUGGGGAAUCUUGCACAAUGGAGGAAACUCUGAUGCAGCGAUGCCGCGUGAGUGAAGAAGGCCCUUGGGUUGUAAAGCUCUUUCGUCGGGGAAGAAAAUGACUGUACCCGAAUAAGAAGGUCCGGCUAACUUCGUGCCAGCAGCCGCGGUAAUACGAAGGGACCUAGCGUAGUUCGGAAUUACUGGGCUUAAAGAGUUCGUAGGUGGUUGAAAAAGUUGGUGGUGAAAUCCCAGAGCUUAACUCUGGAACUGCCAUCAAAACUUUUCAGCUAGAGUUUGAUAGAGGAAAGCAGAAUUUCUAGUGUAGAGGUGAAAUUCGUAGAUAUUAGAAAGAAUACCAAUUGCGAAGGCAGCUUUCUGGAUCAUUACUGACACUGAGGAACGAAAGCAUGGGUAGCGAAGAGGAUUAGAUACCCUCGUAGUCCAUGCUGUAAACGAUGUGUGUUAGACGUUGGAAAUUUAUUUUCAGUGUCGCAGCGAAAGCGAUAAACACACCGCCUGGGGAGUACGACCGCAAGGUUAAAACUCAAAUGAAUUGACGGGGACCCGCACAAGUAGUGGAGCAUGUGGUUUAAUUCGAAGAUACGCGCAGAACCUUACCAACACUUGACAUGUUCGUCGCGACUUUAAGAGAUUAAAGUUUUCGGUUCGGCCGGACGAAACACAGGUGCUGCAUGGCUGUCGUCAGCUCGUGUCGUGAGAUGUUGGGUUAAGUCCCGCAACGAGCGCAACCCUCACUUUUAGUUGCCAUCAUUAAGUUGGGCACUCUGAAAGAACUGCCAGUGAUAAGCUGGAGGAAGGUGGGGAUGACGUCAAGUCCUCAUGGCCCUUACGUGUUGGGCUACACACGUGCUACAAUGGUAUCUACAACAGGAAGCGAAACAGCGAUGUUAAGCAAAUCCUUAAAAGAUAUCUCAGUUCGGAUUGCACUCUGCAACUCGAGUGCAUGAAGCUGGAAUUACUAGUAAUCGUGGAUCAGCGUGCCACGGUGAAUGCGUUCCCG
rnacentral:rRNA from 1 species